AGACAUGUCCUUUUUGUUUUGGUGCUCUGGUGUACAGAGGCUGAGGACAGAGCAAGGACAAAUCUCCUGCUUUUAAUUUUGCUGAGGGUGUAAAAUGAGUCGAGGCUUUCUGCAGUCACUAUUCUAUUCAUAUCUUUUGUGUCCGAUGCUAUUUUUGUUGGCUGUGCCCCUGGAGGUGGAGGUGUGGAAGUGCGUUUCUGCUGGUCUUUGCAAGCGGUGUAGAUGUUUCCUCUGUUCCAGGCACCACCUCAGACGCUGCGGCCUUACAGGAGGAGUAGGCGGAUGUCAGCGUGGCCAUUUCUCACCUGUCUGUAACUUUUUAAUACUUCCUUUUACUUGGCUUUGCAUUUCUUCCAUGGAACGAACAUCUCUGGGUAGCCACUGGGAGGUGUAAACGGCUUGGGAUGGAAACCACAGCUUGUAGGUGCGCCCUCUGCCAGGCUUUUCUGGCACCCGAGGAAGCCCAGUCUCUGCCUGCUUCCAAGCGAAAUGGAUAUUACCAGCUGCUCGGUGAGAAAACAAAUUCACAGAGAUACAGGAAAGUGUGUUAAGUUGGUGGGAAGCAACGGGCAUGAGAUUCCUGGCAGCUCGGGUGACUGGCAUUAUUUUGGAACCCAAUUCUCAAACAUCUGGGAUUAGCUCUCCUGGAAAUGUGAGGAUGUGGGCCCUCUAGUGCCACUUGGAAAAUGUCAGUAUUCCAGCCCACAGUCUGCAAGGGAGGUGUUAUUUGGCAAGUAACUAGAGCUUAAUCAGCAGUUUGGGACCACCUUCAAGUGGUCAAGGAGAAAAACAAAUCAAAUUUUCUUUUUCAGGUCUCCUGCAUUUGGCUGGUCCAACUGGAUAAUAGGUCCAGCAGUAACUCCUAGCAACAGGAAUUCUUCCCCUUCAGUGGUUGCUUGAUGUCCUGUGUGGAAUGAGAGUUCAGCCAAUGGUAUAGGCACUUCUUAGUGGACAAGUAUCUACUCAUGUAAUUCUGCAGUAACUGGUGUCUCCAUGUCUGCCAUUCUCCCUUGCCAGCCCAGCAGAGAUAACUGAAGUUACCUGGAAAUAAAUUUCUCCAUCAAGUGUCCUAGCUGAGGCUUUGCUGCAAUAACAGCACAUGCACAACUUGUGGUGCUUAGUUUAUCUUUGGAUGGACAAUUGCUAUCUCCAGGCCUACAGAGUAAGCAUUGUUAGAUAUAUUAAAAUAAUUUUUAAAAAGUCUUCUGACUCCAAAGUUCAUAGCCUUUCAGUUUAUGUAUAUCCAGCUGGGAAAUCAUGCCCACUAAUUUUUACUGAAGUUUGCAGUUGAUUGACCCACCAGUACAAUGCCAGGAUGCUGGGUAGACUUGUACAGCUCCUCCGAAGUUCAGGUGCAUUCAAAAUACAUGGCUCAAGGAUGACCAGUCUGUUACCUCUAAUAUCAUUGAUGGCUAAAACACCUACAGAUUCAA